GAGCUGUGAAGAGUCAUUAGAUGUGAUGGUUGGGUCCAUCACCACUCAUCUCGAGAUGAUAACUAGUGUGUCUGAGCUC